GAGUUUGAUCAUGGCUCAGAUUGAACGCUGGCGGCAUGCCUUACACAUGCAAGUCGAACGGCAGCAUGAUCUAGCUUGCUAGAUUGAUGGCGAGUGGCGAACGGGUGAGUAAUACAUCGGAACGUGCCCUGUAGUGGGGGAUAACUAGACGAAAGAUUAGCUAAUACCGCAUACGACCUGAGGGUGAAAGUGGGGGACCGCAAGGCCUCAUGCUAUAGGAGCGGCCGAUGUCUGAUUAGCUAGUUGGUGGGGUAAAGGCCCACCAAGGCGACGAUCAGUAGCUGGUCUGAGAGGACGAUCAGCCACACUGGGACUGAGACACGGCCCAGACUCCUACGGGAGGCAGCAGUGGGGAAUUUUGGACAAUGGGCGAAAGCCUGAUCCAGCAAUGCCGCGUGUGUGAAGAAGGCCU
rnacentral:rRNA from 1 species